rnacentral:lncRNA from 1 species
GAAAUUCCCUCUGCCCCUACCGUACUCCAGCUUGGUAGUUUCCACCUCCUGUCCAGGGUUGAGCCCUGGGAUUUGACGGCGGACUUAAAAAGCCACCUACAGACGCUUUACGCCCAAUCAUUCCGGAUAACGCUUGCAUCCUCUGUUGAGGUAGAAAACACAAAAAAAAGCAAAAUAAACACAUACGAAGCUCGAGUGCAUCCUCACUUAGUAAAAGAAAAUUAAAAGGAAAAGAAAAAAAGCCUAAGCUAACCAACACUAUGUCUUCUCCACCAUGCUCGUCAAGGCCUCCAAAUCUUCAGGAAUGAAAAAAAAUCGAUCUACUUUCAUUUGGUAUUUUUGCCUAAAUUCCUUGGAAAUUCCCUCUGCCCCUACCGUACUCCAGCUUGGUAGUUUCCACCUCCUGUCCAGGGUUGAGCCCUGGGAUUUGACGGCGGACUUAAAAAGCCACCUACAGACGCUUUACGCCCAAU